AUUGAACGCUGGCGGCAUGCCUUACACAUGCAAGUCGAACGGUAACGGGCCUUCGGGUGCCGACGAGUGGCGAACGGGUGAGUAAUACAUCGGAACGUGCCCGAUCGUGAGGGAUAACGAGGCGAAAGCUUUGCUAAUACCGCAUACGAUCUACGGAUGAAAGCAGGGGACCGCAAGGCCUUGCGCGGACGGAGCGGCCGGUGGCAGAUUAGGUAGUUGGUGGGAUAAAAGCUUACCAAGCCGACGAUCUGUAGCUGGUCUGAGAGGAUGAUCAGCCACACUGGGACUGAGACACGGCCCAGACUCCUACGGGAGGCAGCAGUGGGGAAUUUUGGACAAUGGGCGCAAGCCUGAUCCAGCCAUGCCGCGUGCAGGAUGAAGGCCUUCGGGUUGUAAACUGCUUUUGUACGGAACGAAAAGCCUUCUUUUAAUACAGGAGGGUCAUGACGGUACCGUAAGAAUAAGCACCGGCUAACUACGUG
rnacentral:rRNA from 1 species